UGGGGAAUUUUGGACAAUGGGGGAAACCCUGAUCCAGCCAUCCCGCGUGUGCGAUGAAGGCCUUAGGGUUGUAAAGCACUUUUGGCAGGAAAGAAACGUCAUGGGUUAAUACCCCGUGAAACUGACGGUAUCUGCAGAAUAAGCACCGGCUAACUACUUGCCAGCAGCCGCGGUAAUACGUAGGGUGCAAGCGUUAAUCGGAAUUACUGGGCGUAAAGCGUGCGCAGGCGGUUCGGAAAGAAAGAUGUGAAAUCCCAGAGCUCAACUUUGGAACUGCAUUUUUAACUACCGGGCUAGAGUGUGUCAGAGUGAGGUGGAAUUCCGCGUGUAGCAGUGAAAUGCGUUGAUAUGCGGAGGAACACCGAUGGCGAAGGCAGCCUCCUGGGAUAACACUGACGCUCAUGCACGAAAGCGUGGGGAGCAAACAGG
rnacentral:rRNA from 1 species